GAUGAACGCUAGCGACAGGCUUAACACAUGCAAGUCGAGGGGCAGCAUAGAAGUAGCAAUACUUUGGUGGCGACCGGCGCACGGGUGAGUAACGCGUAUGCAACCUACCUAUCAGAGGGGAAUAACCCGGCGAAAGUCGGACUAAUACCGCAUAAAACAGGGGCACCGCAUGGCGAUAUUUGUUAAAGAAAUUCGCUGAUAGAUGGGCAUGCGUUCCAUUAGGUAGUUGGUGGGGUAACGGCGCACCAAGCCGACGAUGGAAAGGGGAACUGAGAGGUUGGUCCCCCACACUGGUACUGAGACACGGACCAGACUCCUACGGGAGGCAGCAGUGAGGAAUAUUGGUCAAUGGGCGGGAGCCUGAACCAGCCAAGUCGCGUGAAGGAAGAAGGAUCUAUGGUUCGUAAACUUCUUUUGCAGGGGAAUAAAGUGCAGGACGUGUCCUGUUUUGUAUGUACCCUGAGAAUAAGGAUCGGCUAACUCCGUGCCAGCAGCCGCAGUAACAC
rnacentral:rRNA from 1 species